rnacentral:rRNA from 1 species
GACGAACGCUGGCGGCGUGCUUAACACAUGCAAGUCGAGCGGUAAGGCCCUUUCGGGGGUACACGAGCGGCGAACGGGUGAGUAACACGUGGGUGACCUGCCCUCAGCUCUGGGAUAAGCCUGGGAAACCGGGUCUAAUACUGGAUAUGACUCCAUGACGCAUGUUGUGGGGUGGAAAGCCUUGUGCGGCUGAGGAUGGGCCCGCGGCCUAUCAGCUUGUUGGUGGGGUGAGGCCUACCAAGGCGACGACGGGUAGCCGGCCUGAGAGGGCGACCGGCCACACCGGGACUGAGACACGGCCCAGACUCCUACGGGAGGCAGCAGUGGGGAAUCUUGCGCAAUGGGCGAAAGCCUGACGCAGCGACGCCGCGUGAGGGAUGACGGCCUGG